GACGAACGCUGGCGGCGUGCUUAACACAUGCAAGUCGAGCGGUAAGGCCCUUUCGGGGGUACACGAGCGGCGAACGGGUGAGUAACACGUGGGUGACCUGCCCUCAGCUCUGGGAUAAGCCUGGGAAACCGGGUCUAAUACCGGAUAUGACUCCAUGACGCAUGUUGUGGGGUGGAAAGCCUUGUGCGGCUGAGGAUGGGCCCGCGGCCUAUCAGCUUGUUGGUGGGGUGAUGGCCUACCAAGGCGACGACGGGUAGCCGGCCUGAGAGGGCGACCGGCCACACUGGGACUGAGACACGGCCCAGACUCCUACGGGAGGCAGCAGUGGGGAAUAUUGCGCAAUGGCCGAAAGGCUGACGCAGCGACGCCGCGUGGAGGAUGACGCCUC
rnacentral:rRNA from 1 species